rnacentral:rRNA from 1 species
UACACACCGCCCGUCACACCAUGGGAGUGUGUUGUACCAGAAGCCGGUAGACUAACCCGCAAGGGGGGUCGCCGACCACGGUAUGAUUCAUGACUGGGGUG